rnacentral:piRNA from 1 species
UAUUACAUAGACUCUGUUGUUCUGAGUGC